rnacentral:rRNA from 1 species
UACGUAGGGUCCAAGCGUUAUCCGGAAUCACUGGGCGUAAAGCGUGCGUAGGUGGAUUGUUAAGUGCGGUGCGAAAUCCUGUGGCUCAACCAUAUGGACUGUAUCGCAUACUGGCAAUCUAGAGGACAUGAGAGGCAAGUGGAAUUACUGGUGUAGCAGUGAAAUGCGUAGAGAUCAGUAGGAACACCAAUGGCGAAGGCAGCUUGCUGGCAUGUAUCUGACGCUAAGGCACGAAAGCUAGGGGAGCAAACAGG